CUAGAACACACCAGGGGUCAUUCCUGCCCAAUGACUCUAACGUUAAACGGCCGCGGUAGCCUGACCGUGCUAAGGUAGCAUAAUAAUUUGCCUUUUAAUUGAUGGCUAGAAUGAAUGGAUAAAUGAGAGCUCACCUGUCUCUAACUUACGCACGAAACCUAACCUCCAGGCGAAAAGGCCUGCAUACCCCUAUAGGACAAAAAGACCCUAUCAAGCUUCACCACACUAAACAACCCCCUAAAGUACUCACGUUCUUAGCCCUGUUUAAACCGGUUUAGUUGGGGCAACUGAAGACCGCCCCCAGCGUCUCCUUACUACCUCAAGGGAUACCCCCCACCCUGAAACGAUCCCCCACAGGACAAAAGGAAAAGCUACUGUAGGGAUAACAGGCUAAUUUUCCUCGCGAGCCCAUAUCGAAAGGAAAGUUUGGCACCUCGAUGUUGGCUUAAGGCAUCCCUGAGGUUGCAGCAGCUUCAAACGGUAGGUU
rnacentral:rRNA from 1 species